rnacentral:rRNA from 1 species
UACGAAGGGUGCUAGCGUUGUUCGGAAUCACUGGGCGUAAAGCGCGCGUCGGCGGCUAAUCAAGUCAGGGGUGAAAUCCUUGGGCUCAACCCAAGAAUUGCCUUUGAAACUGUUUGGCUGGAGUAUUGGAGGGGAGUGCGGAAUUUCUAAUGUAGCGGUGAAAUGCGUAGAUAUUAGAAGGAACACCGGUGGCGAAGGCGGCACUCUGGACAAUUACUGACGCUGAGGCGCGAAAGCGUGGGGAUCAAACAGG